rnacentral:rRNA from 1 species
GACGAACGCUGGCGGCGUGCUUAACACAUGCAAGUCGAACGAUGAUGCUCCAGCUUGCUGGGGUGGAUUAGUGGCGAACGGGUGAGUAACACGUGAGUAACCUGCCCCCUUCUUCGGGAUAAGCUUGGGAAACUGGGUCUAAUACUGGAUAUUCUGCAAUUGUCGCAUGGUGGUUGUGGGAAAGAUUUUUUGGUGGGGGAUGGGCUCGCGGCCUAUCAGCUGGUUGGUGGGGUGAUGGCCUACCAAGGCGUCGACGGGUGGCCGGCCUGAGAGGGGGACCGGCCAGACUGGGGCUGAGAUUGGGCCUAGACUCCGACGGGGAGCAGUAGUGGGGAAUAUUGCACAAUGGGCGCAAGCUUGAUGCAGCGACGCCGCGUGAGGGAUGACGGCUGUCGGGUUGUAAACCUCUUUCGAUGGGGAACAAGGCCAUAUUUUUGUGUGGUUGAGGGUACCUGUAUAAGAAGCGCCGGCUAACUACGUG